CAGUUAUAAAUUUCUCCACUAGAGCUGGAAAAAACCUCGAGGUAACAUCGAUAUAUCGAUGUUGCCGAAAAUUUAGCAACAUCGAUAUUUUAGUUUUCAACAUCGAUUAUCGUCACUUGCAGCCGAAUAAAAGAGGAAGCAUCAACGCGUGGUAAGAGUAAUUGGUGGUGUUGGCAGUCAUCGUGGGAGAAUUAUGGACAAACUUUUAAAAAGAACUUCGAAUGUGUUGGGCGACGUGGAAAACGAAGAAAGCAAAGAAAUCUCAAUUUCGAAUAACAAGCGCAAGGAAAAAAUUUCAAUAGUUUGGAAUUAGUUUAAGAAGGGAACAAAUCAAACCGCGUCUUGUAUGCAAUGUGGAAAGGUCCUCAAAACAUCUGGAAUUACCAGCAAUUUUAUGCAGCAUUUGAGGACUGCACAUCCUAUAAGAGAGCAAGCAGAAAACAUUGCAGUUUCACCAUGCAUGAACAAAUUUCUUGAAAGUUCUAAGCAAUACUCAAAUGCCUCUGCUCGAAAAAUCGCUAUAGACAAAGCUGUAAUGAGGAUGAUAGCAUUGGAUGUGCAACCUUUUAGCAUUGUUACCGAUCGCGGAUUUGUUAAUUUAAUGAAGUGCGUGGAUCCUUUGUACAAGUUGCCAAGUAAGACACAUUUGCGUAACGUUAUCUUAAACAAUGAGUAUGAGGCCUCAAAGGAAAAAAUCAAAAAAUCAUUAGAGCAGGUAGAUCACGUUGGGAUUACAACGGACUGCUGGA